GAUGAACGCUGGCGGCGUACCUAAUACAUGCAAGUCGAGCGAACAGACGAGGUGCUUGCUCCUCUGACGUUAGCGGCGGACGGGUGAGUAACACGUGGAUAACCUACCUAUAAGACUGGGAUAAAUUCGGGAAACCGGAGCUAAUACCGGAUAAUAUAUUAAACCGCAUGGUUCAAUAGUGAAAGACGGUUUUGCUGUCACUUAUAGAUGGAUCCGCGCCGCAUUAGCUGUUUGGUAAGGUAAAGGCUUACCAAGGAGACGAUGCGUAGCCGACCUGAGAGGGUGACCGGCCACACUGGAACUGAGACACGGUCCAGACUCCUACGGGAGGCAGCAGUGGGGAAUCUUCCGCAAUGGGCGAAAGCCUGACGGAGCAACGCCGCGUGAGUGAUGAAGGUCUUCGGAUCGUAAACCUCUGUUAUUAGGGAAGAACAAAUGUGUAAGUAACUAUGCACGUCUUGACGGUACCUAAUCAGAAAGCCACGGCUAACUACGUG
rnacentral:rRNA from 1 species